AUGUGGUUUCUUAGGAAAAAUAUGAGAAACCUCACACCUUAAAUAUAUGGUUUCUUAGAUAAUAUUAUAUUUAAGAAAAAAUCACAAAGAAACUGAAGAUCUUUUAACCAAUUUCUUACGCAUAUAUUAGAUAAAGUAUCAUUUUUAUUUUUAAUUUAAUUAAGGUUGGGAUUUUUAUUUUAUAUUUUGAUUUUGGAUUCCCUCAUAAUCGUUUAUCCGCAUCCGCAACCGCAACCGCAACCGCAACCGCAAAUGAAAGAAAAUGAAACCCCUAAAUCCCCACUACUAUCUCUCCGUUUCCUGAACAUUCAGCAACCCUAAAUCCUUAUUUCACUCUUCGCACUCUUGAUAAGAUUUUUCUUGAAUUUCGCUGCAGGUGCAUCAAGAAUCUGGAUGGCAAUCAGCUCCAGCAACCUUGUGAUGAUUGAUUGAUUCCCCAUCACUCAGAGCUGCUUUAAACCAAUAUGCUGAGAGACUGGACCUGAAAGAAUACUCAAAAUUGAUAGAGCUUUCCCACAUAUAUCCACUAGCUCUAGAUUUCAGUGCUGUUCUUAUAUAUAUAUAUAUAUAUAUAUAUAUAUAUAUAUUUAAUCGAAUGGAAAUCGUUUGUUCUGAAGUUACAUACAUUUGUUUCCUUUGCCUUCAGAUGCCUGGUACAGUUGAGGAACUUGAGGCUAAUUUGGAGCAAGCUAGUUCCAUCCUCCUACUCAAUCAAAAUGUUGUGGCAGAAUAUGAAAUGCGACAAAGAAAGAUUGAAGCCCUGGCAAGAACACUUGAAGAAGAAGAACAUGGAUUAAGGACUCUUUUGGCUGAAAUAGAUGCCUUGAAGCUUCAGGCUAGCUGGCUUCCAACAUUGCAGAAUCUUGUUUCUCAGAUCAAUGGAACAUUUGGUCAUAAUUUCCAGGAGAUGGCUAUUGCUAGAGAAGUAUUAUUAGAUGAGCACGACAUGGACUUUGGUGCAUACGGUAUUGUUAUAAAAGUAAAGUUCAGGGGCUGUGAGCAGUCACUACAAGAGAAGCUCUUAAAGUAGAUCAAGGAAUCUCGAUCAGGUGAGUUUAAAGAAGCAAAUACAACAAUGCAACAAGCUCGUGAUACUUGUGGUUUUUCUACAUUUGUCUGUGUAUAUAUCUAAAUGAAUCGUUUGACUAGUUAGCUCCCUAAGGCAAAGCCUAAUCCUAUUCCUAAUCAACUGCCUGACUCUGGUUUGUACAAGAGAGCUACCAAGAAGGCUAGGCCUAAUUUUGUUCAACUGUUUGAAUGUGAUUCACACAAGAGGGCCAACGAGAAGGGUGAAUCCUGCUCAUGUAUUCCGAAGUUUCCAACACUUGAAGAAAUGUGUGGCAGCGAAAAUUCUGGUGAACAACAAUCCUCCUCCAGCUCUAGUGAAAAAAGAACAAGUAUAGGAUCUGGUACACUACAACUUGCAGCUUUAAUUAGGAAAAUAAUUGACAUACACUAGUAUUUUAACAUAAGAUAAGUGCAUAAGUCUUACUUCCUAAGGAUUUUUAGGAACUAAAAGAGUUUCCUAACGACUAAAACAUCUUUUCCAUCAUCAGCAUUUGUCAAUUAAUCAUUUGAUCCAGGCUAUAGAGUAUUUCCAACAAGACAGCUUGAGAGUUGAUAUGUGGCUAAGGUUGUCACAGAACGAACAAGUUUAAUAUGUUUAAGAAUUUUUCCCUGAGGGGUCGUUUAUUCCGGGGUCAAUCCGCCAAACUUGCGAGUGAUGCCUGUCUGAUGUGUCUGCUGAUUGUGCUGAUGUUGGAGAGCCUUUGGAACAAUGAAGCUUAUUGGGGAGAUAUUGUGAUGUUUGGGAUGGGUGUUAAUUAUGUAAUAAACAAUAAUGUGGUUCUAUAUUAGUAGUUCUUGUUUUAUUGGUUUUUAA